rnacentral:rRNA from 1 species
CCAGACUCCUACGGGAGGCAGCAGUGGGGGAUAUUGGACAAUGGGGGGAACCCUGAUCCAGCGACGCCGCGUGAGUGAAGAAGUAUCUCGGUAUGUAAAGCUCUAUCAGCAGGGAAGAAAGAAAUGACGGUACCUGAGUAAGAAGCCCCGACUAACUACGUGCCAGCAGCCGCGGUAAUACGUAGGGGGCAAGCGUUAUCCGGAUUUACUGGGUGUAAAGGGAGCGUAGACGGCAGCACAAGUCUGAAGUGAAAUGCCGGGGCUUAACCCCGGAACUGCUUUGGAAACUGUAUGGCUAGAUUGCAGGAGAGGCAAGUGGAAUUCCUAGUGUAGCGGUGAAAUGCGUAGAUAUUAGGAGGAACACCAGUGGCGAAGGCGGCUUGCUGGACUGUAAAUGACGCUGAGGCUCGAAAGCGUGGGGAGCAAACAGGAUUAGAUACCCGAGUAGUA